AUUGCCAACUUGUGAAGUAUACCUGCUGUGUGUGGUAGAAAAAUAAACUUGCUGUUUGGGUAUGAAUAUCUCUAUGGAUGGACGAGCAAUGGACGACAAUGGAGCAAUGGACGACAGUUUGAAAAUUUGGCGCAGCUCAAGAAGGAUUUGGUUGAAGAAUAGGCCAAAAUCGAAGAAAAACAUUGCAGGAUUUGGCUAAUUUAAUGUCUAAACGCUUGGCUGAAGUAAUUUCAAAGCACGGAGGCAAUACCCACUGUUAGUGUCCCAAUAAUUAUUUCUAAGGGAGCUAACGUAACAAUAUCAAUUUAUCG